GACGAACGCUGGCGGCGUGCUUAACACAUGCAAGUCGAACGGAAAGGCCCUGCUUUUGUGGGGUGCUCGAGUGGCGAACGGGUGAGUAACACGUGAGUAACCUGCCCUUGACUUUGGGAUAACUUCAGGAAACUGGGGCUAAUACCGGAUAGGAGCUCCUGCUGCAUGGGGGGGGUUGGAAAGUUUCGGCGGUUGGGGGUGGACUCGCGGCUUAUCAGCUGGUUGGUGGGGUAGUGGCUUACCAAGGGUUUGACGGGUAGCCGGCCUGAGAGGGUGACCGGCCACAUUGGGACUGAGAUACGGCCCAGACUCCUACGGGAGGCAGCAGUGGGGAAUAUUGCACAAUGGGCGGAAGCCUGAUGCAGCAACGCCGCGUGCGGGAUGACGGCCUUCGGGUUGUAAACCGCUUUCGCCUGUGACGAAGCGUGAGUGACGGUAAUGGGUAAAGAAGCACCGGCUAACUACGUG
rnacentral:rRNA from 1 species